GAUGAACGCUGGCGGCGUGCCUAAUACAUGCAAGUCGAGCGAACAGACGAGGAGCUUGCUCCUCUGACGUUAGCGGCGGACGGGUGAGUAACACGUGGAUAACCUACCUAUAAGACUGGGAUAACUUCGGGAAACCGGAGCUAAUACCGGAUAAUAUAUUGAACCGCAUGGUUCAAUAGUGAAAGACGGUUUUGCUGUCACUUAUAGAUGGAUCCGCGCCGCAUUAGCUAGUUGGUAAGGUAACGGCUUACCAAGGCAACGAUGCGUAGCCGACCUGAGAGGGUGAUCGGCCACACUGGAACUGAGACACGGUCCAGACUCCGGCGGGAGGCAGCAGUAGAGAAUCUUCCGCAAGGGGCGAAAGCUUGACGGAGCGACACCGCGUGAGUGAUGAAGGUCUUCGGAUCGUAAAACUCUGUUAGUAGGAAAGAACAAAUGUGUAAGUAACUAUGCACGUCUUGACGGUACCUAAUCAGAAAGCCACGGCUAACUACGUG
rnacentral:rRNA from 1 species